rnacentral:rRNA from 1 species
AUUGAACGCUGCCGGCAGCCCUAACACAUGCAAGUCGAGCGGCGCGGCAGACGGGUGAGUAAUGCCUAUGACUCUGCCUGGUACUCGGGGAUAACGUCCGGAAACGGGCGCUAAUACCGCAUCCUUUCCGCUGCGCCUUGGUCGGAUUAGCUAGUUGGUGGGGUAAAGGCCUACCAAGUCACCGAUCCGUAACUGGUCUGAGAGGAUGUUCAGUCACACUGGAACUGAGACACGGUCCAGACUCCUACGGGAGGCAGCAGUGGGGAAUAUUGGACAAUGGGCGAAAGCCUGAUCCAGCCAUGCCGCGUGUGUGAAGAAGGUCUGCGGAGUGUAAAGCACUUUAAGUUGGGAGGCGUUACCAACAGAAUAAGCACCGGCUAACUUCGGGCCAGCAGCCGCGGUAAUUC